GGACUAUGGUCUUACCGUGAUUGAGCAAUAUGUCUAGGGAAAAAACAGCAGCGGGAGGGAGCAGAGGGAGAGCUCUAAACAUGACGGUUCAACUUUUAGACUUCCUAGUGGAAGUCCUUACCAUGACGAUGUGCUUUUAUGACCUAUUAAAGAACAGGCUGUUCUAGAGGCGCAAAACGUGACUGGGCAAAAAAACAUGGACCGCCUUCAAUGUUCAACAUCAGUAAUCAGUUUCACGUGUUCAUAUGCACAUUCAUAUUAGGUUAAUUACGUGUGGUCGAGAUUAGAUUCUGACGUGGAACGUCUCUUUAGACGGGUUCAUCGAGGUCUCUCGCCCGUUCUUUUGCAUUGAUCAGCACAUUCAACCACUCGUCCUCUGAACCGAACCUUCCCUAUCUUAUCCGCCAAGUUCAAUUUGGACGUUCGCAAGGAACCUGCACUCAACCAUGGUCCAAUAAGAUUCAAGCGAGGGAAGACCGAGACACCAUGCAAACUUUUGCCUAUGAAGCCACCACUUCCUGGUUCCGGUGAUCAAUGGGCCUCUGUAAGUCAGUCCCACCAGGGUCCAGCACUUUGAAGACUUCAGAACACGGCUCACCUCUAAUCAAACCCAAAGAGAGAAGAAACUAUCCUACUGAGGCUUUCUGUUGGAUAUGGACGACGUAGAAGACUCCAGUGACCAAGAGCUGAGCACCACGGUGACGCACAAGUUAACGGCAGAGAGGACUCGUACUGGCCAAGCCCCCCCUCAGCAUGCAGUGUCCAGGCCUCGAGGGACGGAUGGAGGGAUGGAGGAGAGGAGAAGUAUGGCACUGAAGAGAACCUAUUGGAUACCAGUUCUCCAGCAG